rnacentral:rRNA from 1 species
GACGAACGCUGGCGGCGUGCCUAAUACAUGCAAGUAGAACGCUGAAGGAGGAGCUUGCUUCUCUGGAUGAGUUGCGAACGGGUGAGUAACGCGUAGGUAACCUGCCUGGUAGCGGGGGAUAACUAUUGGAAACGAUAGCUAAUACCUCAUAAGAGUAGAUGUUGCAUGACAUUUGCUUAAAAGGUGCAAUUGCAUCACUACCAGAUGGACCUGCGUUGUAUUAGCUAGUUGGUGGGGUAACGGCUCACCAAGGCGACGAUACAUAGCCGACCUGAGAGGGUGAUCGGCCACACUGGGACUGAGACACGGCCCAGACUCCUACGGGAGGCAGCAGUAGGGAAUCUUCGGCAAUGGACGGAAGUCUGACCGAGCAACGCCGCGUGAGUGAAGAAGGUUUUCGGAUCGUAAAGCUCUGUUGUAAGAGAAGAACGAGUGUGAGAGUGGAAAGUUCACACUGUGACGGUAUCUUACCAGAAAGGGACGGCUAACUACGUG